UCAAAGAAAAUCAUGCCUCCGUACUGCUAUCAGCCUAUCACCAUUCUUAUCAUCCCUCCAUCAAUAUUAGAAAAGUGUUAGGCUCCAAAAUCACCAUUACCCUUCUCCUUCGGAUGUUGGAUCCUAUACCAUCAUAAAUGUCGAUUGAUUGUUGCUCUGCUAUCUCUGCUCACUAAAAUUAGGCGAACCCUCCUUCCUCCUCGUCGUGGGUUGGUAAAGGUACUUGGAUAUGAGUGAGGAGACGCUUAGAAUAACCACCUAUUCAAGAGACAAUUUCUGUUUCUGUUUAAGUUGAACUUUGUUAUUUAUUUUAUGAGAAUUGGUUGUAUUAUUUUUAUGGGCUA